GCAAACAACUACCCUUGUGAAUGUAAAGAAGCUGUGCAAGGAGUAACAAUUGCCUGAGACAACUGUCUGUGAAGAAUAUUGUCAGAAAUUCUGAACUUCCCCAGCGCUUUGGCAAAGAAGUCCAGAGAUUAUUAUUGGAGGCUGCAUUGUGCCAGAGAUUGAAUAAAGCUCUGAGAGCCCCAUCGUAGAGGAAGACACACACGCCGACUCACAUACGCUCACACUCUGCUUUCUCC